rnacentral:rRNA from 1 species
AGUAGGGAAUCUUCCACAAUGGACGCAAGUCUGAUGGAGCAACGCCGCGUGAGUGAAGAAGGUUUUCGGACCGUAAAGCUCUGUUGUUGGUGAAGAAGGAUAGAGGUAGUAACUGGCCUUUAUCUGACGGUAAUCAACCAGAAAGUCACGGCUAACUACGUGCCAGCAGCCGCGGUAAUACGUAGGUGGCAAGCGUUGUCCGGAUUUAUUGGGCGUAAAGCGAGCGCAGGCGGAAGAAUAAGUCUGAUGUGAAAGCCCUCGGCUUAACCGAGGAAUUGCAUCGGAAACUGUUUUCUUGAGUGCAGAAGAGGAGAGUAGAACUCCAUGUGUAGCGGUGGAAUGCGUAGAUAUAUGGAAGAAUACCAGUGGCGAAGGCGGCUCUCUGGUCUGCAACUGACGCUGAGGCUCGAAAGCAUGGGUAGCGAACAGGAUUAGAUACCCUGGUAGUCCAUGCCGUAAACGAUGAGUGCUAAGUGUUGGGAGGCUUCCGCCUCUCAGUGCUGCAGCUAACGCAUUAAGCACUCCGCCUGGGGGAGUACGACCGCAAGGUUGAAAC